rnacentral:tRNA from 1 species
GUGGGUAUAGCUCAACUGGAUAGAGCACCAGGCUGUGGACCUGGGGGCUGCGGGUUCAAAUCCCGUUACCCACCCCA